rnacentral:rRNA from 1 species
UACGAAGGGGGCUAGCGUUGCUCGGAAUCACUGGGCGUAAAGCGCACGUAGGCGGACUCUUAAGUCAGGGGUGAAAUCCUGGAGCUCAACUCCAGAACUGCCCUUGAUACUGGGAGCCUUGAGUUCGGGAGAGGUGAGUGGAACUGCGAGUGUAGAGGUGAAAUUCGUAGAUAUUCGCAAGAACACCAGUGGCGAAGGCGGCUCACUGGCCCGAUACUGACGCUGAGGCGCGAAAGCCAGGGGAGCAAACGGG